CGGUAAUUCCAGCUCCAAUAGCGUAUAUUAAAAUUGUUGCAGUUAAAAAGCUCGUAGUUGAAUUUCUGUUAAAAAUAACCGGUCUGCUUUUAUUAUUAGUAAAAGUGGUAUCUUGGCUUUUUUUUUAGCAAUAAUGUCCUUGGAGAUGUUUUUUACUUACUUUAUUGUAAUAAAUUAUGUUGAGGAUUUUUACUUUGAGAAAAUUAGAGUGUUUCUAGCAGGCUAACGCUUUGAAUACUGCAGCAUGGAAUAAUAAAAUAGGAUUUUGGUUCUACAUUAUUGGUUUUAAGAACUAAAUUAAUGAUUGAUAGGGACAGUUGGGGGCAUUUGUAUUUAACUGUCAAAGGUGAAAUUCUUA
rnacentral:rRNA from 1 species